CUAUGUAGAAGAAAGAAAGUGACUAAGAGGAGCGAAAAGGGAAGAUGAAAUGUGACGAAUAAUUAGCACAUGUUUGCUAGUAUUGGCCAAACAAAACAACGCUAUGCCAAGAUCACUGUUCAUUGUUCGAUCAUGUCUGUCACCAUGUGGAUCGUGGCCUCUGGCCAAAUCCUAACCAUGUACUCUUCUGGACUCGUAAUCGUAUAUUUUAUUACCUUAAUUUGUCUUCAAUUAUUUGAUUUCACUAUUUUCACUCCAUUUUUUUUUCUAUCCACAUUCACUUCACUUAGAGUUUGAUUGAGAUUCAGUCAGACAAGUGCUCCUUUCUAGUUUGGAUUCAAGGGAAGAAGGAUGAAGAAUUCCGUCUCUGAUCAAAGCUUUAAUUUCAUUGAGAGUGACGAAGAGGAUGCUUUUGCUGAUAAGAUAUCCACCCAUGAGGAAGAUGAUGGAAACUAUUCAGAUUCGUCUCAUUCAUCAAUGGAUCAAGGACAGCAGAGCAAACCAAAUUCUUAUACUACGUCUUGGCCCCAAAGUUACAGGCAAUCUAUUGAUUUGUAUAGUAGUGUGCCAUCUCCAAAUAUUGGUAUUCUGGGCAAUUCUUCUUUAUCAAGGUUUGGUAGUUCGUUUCUGUCCUCAUCAUUAUAUCAAAGGCACACCACUGAAGUAACAAGACCCCUCCUACCAACCGCAGCAGAGGGGCAACAACAUAAAAGACAUAGCUCUCACUCUCUAGUUCCUCCCGCUCCAUCAAGAAGACCUUCUGCAUUGAAGAAGGCAGAUUCCGAACAUAAACCAUCUGGGAUCUCACAUGAGUUUCAUGUUUCUCGAGACAGUACACUUGGACAGGCUGUGAUGAAUGGCAUGAAUGUUUUGUGUGGAGUAGGCUUACUUACUACCCCGUACGCUAUCAAGGAGGGAGGAUGGCUUGGCCUUUCUGUACUAUUUAUCUUUGCGAUUCUCUCUUUCUAUACUGGAUUUCUUUUACGUUAUUGCUUGGACAGUUCUCCUGGGUUGGAGACCUAUCCAGAUAUUGGCCAAGCUGCAUUUGGCAGAAAAGGAAGAAUUGCAAUCUCGAUAAUUCUUUACUUGGAAUUAUAUGCUUGUUGUGUGGAGUAUAUAAUAUUGGAGAGCGAUAAUUUAUCUUCGAUGUUCCCCAAUGCACGUAUAAAUUUGCUUGGUUAUGUUCUUGACUCCCACCACCUGUUUGCCUUAGCAACCACUCUUGCUGUACUUCCUACAUGUUGGCUGCGCGAUCUAAGCCUUCUGAGCUACAUAUCAGCUGGUGGAGUCGUAGCAUCGGUACUAGUAGUCCUAUGCCUAUUUUGGAUUGGAUUGGUAGAUCAAGUGCCGUUCGUUGGUAAAGGAACAACAAUUAACCUAUCUACUCUUCCUGUUGCGCUUGGUCUAUAUGGUUAUUGCUUCUCAGGACAUGCUGUCUUCCCCAAUAUUUAUAGUUCUAUGGCUAAUCGAAGCCAAUAUACUGCCUUUCUUGUGAUCAGCUUUAUAAUUUGCACUUUAAUGUGUGCUGGAAGUGCUGUUGUUGGAUAUCUGAUGUUUGGAGAAUCAACAGAGUCGCAGUUCACACUUAAUAUGCCCUCAAAUUUAGUUGCAUCCAAGGUGGCCAUUUGGACUACGGUGGUGAAUCCAUUUACAAAAUAUCCUUUAUAGUGGCUACUUUAAAAACAUAUUUCAAUGUUUUUUCUGCCAGAAAAGACAUUUUGAUGGCUUUAUUUUAUGUCUAACUCAGUAUCUUUUACUGUACCUGCAUGGUAGAUAGCUUGAAUAAAGUAUUUUUCAGUUUGUUUUGCGUGCUUUCAGAUGAGUAUAACUUUCCAUCCUUUCUUCAUAUUUUUGUCUUACUGUGUGUUCAUCAUAUGUUCAUAAUCAUAUAGAAGUAGCUUGUGACAUAAUAAACAUCCUUAGGAAGAUAAAGAGAAGUUACUCACCUAUAUGCUGUUCUGUUGGAUUUAACCAAAUAUUGACUGAUAUCAGAACAUAAGAAAUUCAAUUCAAAAAAAGAACAGUAAGAAAUUUAAUAGAUCAUGCUAACAAGGAACUAGUUUGUGAGAAGAAUAAUCUUAAGCCUCUGCCACUAUGUAGUCUGGAAAAUACCCAGUUCUGAUUUUUUUAGAAUAGUUUGAAGUUUUGAUAUUGUCGUUUAAAGAUACUCAAUUUAGAAUAACUCAAACUUUGACUUUUCCCCCUACCACCGUCCAACAUGGUGGAAUUCUUAACCCCUGCCGUUGCCACUACCAUCUGUCCCUGCCUCAUUUUUAACAUCCCUCAAUCGUGCAGGUGCGACUAAGGAAUAAAGGUGGUAUGAGAAGUAACUCCAACCCUUUACCUUCAUCAUAAAGAGUUGAGGUGUUGUGUUCUUUGCAACACUAUGUAACAAGAUAGAGAAGAAGAAAUAUUGAAGAUUUUGGGAAAACAAGAAAAAGAGCUUUAGGUUGGAUUAAUAAUUUUGCACAUAAAUUACAAUGGAUUAAAGGAGGAGAGGGAAGAGAUCAAGAGUUCUGCGACUGUAUUUUGAAGGGUUGUUUUCAUUUGCAGGUCAUUCUCCAACAGAUGGUUGCACCGGCCGCAACCUCAUUCUCUCUUUUGGUCUUGUAAUGGCAUUGAUUGGAUCAUUACUGACAAUGCUCGUUACUUUAAUAAUGCCUUGUGCUUGCUACCUGAGCAUCUUGCGGGAAAAGGUGACACGCCUUCAGGUAUUCAUUUGUGCGCUAA